CCCAACCUGAACCCAUCAGGCCAGUCCGAAUUGCCCAUUUGAGCCAAAAACUGAGCUGGCCCGAACCUGAUUAAAGCUUAACCCAUUUGAUAAAAUGGUGAAUGUAGCACUUGAUCUACAAAGUUAAAUAAAGCAAAAAGGAUAAAAAUACUCUACCGUUCAGUAACGGUUCAAAUUAUCAGAACUUUUACUCUCACCAACAA
rnacentral:lncRNA from 1 species